rnacentral:rRNA from 1 species
GGAACAUGUGGUUUAAUUCGUAUGAUACGCGAGGAACCGUUACCCGGCUUGAAUUGCAGAGGAACAUAGUUGAAAGAUUAUGGCCGCAAGGUCUCUGUGAAGGUGCUGCAUGGUUGUCGUCAGCUCGUGCCGUGAGGUGUCGGCUUAAGUGCCAUAACGAGCGCAACCCUUAUCAUUAGUUACUAACAGGUCAUGCUGAGGACUCUAGUGAGACUGCCGUCGUAAGAUGUGAGGAAGGUGGGGAUGACGUCAAAUCAGCACGGCCCUUACGUCCGGGGCUACACACGUGUUACAAUGGGGGUACAGAGGGCAGCUACCGGGCGACCGGAUGCCAAUCCCAAAAACCUCUCUCAGUUCGGAUCGAAGUCUGCAACCCGACUUCGUGAAGCUGGAUUCGCUAGUAAUCGCGCAUCAGCCACGGCGCGGUGAAUACGUUCCCGGGCCUU